ACCCUCUCAGGAUCGUGCCUGGAGAGUUUCCAGUACUCUACCAGUCUCGGCUAAGGGAGGGAGAGUCAUUCAUUGCAUUAUCCAUUCUAUUCCCUGCAUGGCCAGUGGCUGGAGAAUGGAAGGCAAUCUGCUACAAGU